rnacentral:rRNA from 1 species
GGUAUCCUACGGGGGGCAGCAGUGAGGAAUAUUGGUCAAUGGCCGAGAGGCUGAACCAGCCAAGUCGCGUGAGGGAUGACGGCCCUACGGGUUGUAAACCUCUUUUGUCGGGGAGCAAGACCCGCCACGAGUGGCGGAGCGAGAGUACCCGAAGAAAAAGCAUCGGCUAACUCCGUGCCAGCAGCCGCGGCAAUACGGAGGAUGUGAGCGCUAUCCGGAUUUAUUGGGUUUAA